rnacentral:lncRNA from 1 species
UAUUAAUAAUCUCACAGUUGGCAAGACACUGAGUCACUCCCUCAGUGUUCCUCGGGACUCCACAGCGAGAGGAAGUGUGUCGCGCUGGCUCCUCGGGGCCUCCAAAUUCAGCCACCAUGCUCAGCGCUGCUAUGGGUGGGUCGGCGCGUCUCAGCCAGCCUGAUGUACGUUCGCCUUUGUACAUUAAUCCUGAGAUGCGAGAGGAAACAAGCGUGCAUCUCAGCCAGCCAGAUGUGAGAAAAUUGUUCACUUCAAAUGACGGUUUCAAAUCCCCUGUGUCACAAUUGUAUUGAAAGAAAAAUUGAAAAAAAGGAAGAAAAACAGAAAAUAAGACUAC